GAGGGUGUAGCUCAGUGGUAGAGCACAUGCUUAACAUGCACAAGGUCCUGGGUUCAAUCCCUGGUACUUCCA
rnacentral:tRNA from 1 species